CCUACCUAUAAGACUGGGAUAACUUCGGGAAACCGGAGCUAAUACCGGAUAAUAUUUUGAACCGCAUGGUUCAAAAGUAAAAGACGGUCUUGCUGUCACUUAUAGAUGGAUCCGCGCUGCAUUAGCUAGUUGGUAAGGUAACGGCUUACCAAGGCAACGAUGCAUAGCCGACCUGAGAGGGUGAUCGGCCACACUGGAACUGAGACACGGUCCAGACUCCUACGGGAGGCAGCAGUAGGGAAUCUUCCGCAAUGGGCGAAAGCCUGACGGAGCAACGCCGCGUGAGUGAUGAAGGUCUUCGGAUCGUAAAGCUCUGUUAUUAGGGAAGAACAUAUGUGUAAGUAACUGUGCACAUCUUGACGGUACCUAAUCAGAAAGCCACGGCUAACUACGUGCCAGCAGCCGCGGUAAUACGUAGGUGGCAAGCGUUAUCCGGAAUUAUUGGGCGUAAAGCGCGCGUAGGCGGUUUUUUAAGUCUGAUGUGAAAGCCCACGGCUCAACCGUGGAGGGUCAUUGGAAACUGGAAAACUUGAGUGCAGAAGAGGAAAGUGGAAUUCCAUGUGUAGCGGUGAAAUGCGCAGAGAUAUGGAGGAACACCAGUGGCGAAGGCGACUUUCUGGUCUGUAACUGACGCUGAUGUGCGAAAGCGUGGGGAUCAAACAGGAUUAGAUACCCUGGUAGUCCACGCCGUAAACGAUGAGUGCUAAGUGUUAGGGG
rnacentral:rRNA from 1 species